rnacentral:tRNA from 1 species
GUCCAAGUAAUUUAACAAAAAAUAUUGGUCUUGUAAGCCAAAAACGAGGAUAUAAACUCCUCCUAGGACA